UACGUAGGGGGCUAGCGUUAUCCGGAAUUACUGGGCGUAAAGGGUGCGUAGGUGGUUUCUUAAGUCAGAGGUGAAAGGCUACGGCUCAACCGUAGUAAGCCUUUGAAACUGGGGAACUUGAGUGCUGGAGAGGAGAGUGGAAUUCCUAGUGUAGCGGUGAAAUGCGUAGAUAUUAGGAGGAACACCAGUUGCGAAGGCGGCUCUCUGGAUUGUAACUGACACUGAGGCACGAAAGCGUGGGGAGCAAACAGG
rnacentral:rRNA from 1 species